UCCGUACUUUGCGUCGAAUCGUUGUCUGUCGAACUUUUUCCUUUACCGUUGUUAUUGUUGUAUUCCCUUCUCCUUUUUUUUUUUUUUUGACGUCGUCCGUAGGUUACCGGUGGUUGUAACGCCGGCUCGCCUUUUUUACUCAUGCAUUGAAUUAUCGUUUGUCGAGCUUUUUUUCGACCUUUGUGUUGUUCGGAGGCAUCCGAUUGUCAACUUAUCGACCCAUCUUUUUCGCCCUUGGCCGUAGGUUCGUCUGGGGUCACUCAGGUUUGGUAUCCCCAU
rnacentral:lncRNA from 1 species